rnacentral:lncRNA from 1 species
UCCUUUGGGUAGUUUGAGGAGAGGAAUAGAUGGGUCAAAUGGUGGUUCCAUACCCAGUUUUCCAAGGAAUCUCCAUACUGUUUCCAAGUUGGCUUCACCAAUUUGCAGUCCCACUAGCAAUGUAUGAGUGUACCUUUUCCCCACAUCCUCGCCAACACUUAUUGUUGUUUGUCUUCAUAAUAGCUGCCAUUCUGACUGGAGUGAGAUAUCUUACAGUAGUUUUGAUUUGCAUUUCUCUGAUUAUUAGAGAUGAUGAACAUUUUUUCAUCUGUUUGUUGAUUGAUUGUAUAUCCUUUUCUGAGAAGUGUCUGUUCAGGUCCUUAGCCAAUUUGUUGAUUGGGUUAUUUGUUUUUUUGGCAUUUAGCUUUUUGAAUUCUUUAUAUACCCUAGAGAUUAGUGCUCUAUCUGAUGUGUGAGGGGUAAAGAUUUGCUCCCAAGAUGUAGGCUCUCUAUUCACCUCACAGAUUAUUUCUUUUGCUGAGAAGAAAUUUUUUAGUUUGAUUCCAUCCCAUUUGGUGAUUCCUGAUUUUAAUUCUUGUGCUAUAGGAGUCUUAUUAAGGGAGAUGAGGCCUAAUCGCACAUGAUGAAGAUUAGGGCCUACUUUUUCUUCUAUUAGACACAGAGUCUCUGGUUUAAUUCCUAGGUCCUUGAUUCAUUUUGACUUAUUGUUUUGUGCAUGGUGAGAGAUAGGGGCUUAAUUUCAUUUUGUUGCAUAUGCAUUUCUAGUUUUCCCAGCACCAUUUGUUGAAGAUGCUAUCUUUUCUCCAGUGCAUGUUUUUGGCACCUUUGUCUACUAUAAGAUAAUUGUAACUUUGUGGAUUAGUCUCUGUGUCCUCUAUUCUGUACCAUUGAACUACCAGUCUGUGUUGGUGCCAAUAUCAUGCUGUUUUUGUUACUAUUGAUCUGUAGUAUAGUUUAAGUUCUGGUAUAGCGACACCACCUGCUUCACUCUUCCUGUUUAGGAUUGCUUUAACUAUUCUGAGUCUCUUAUUUUUCCAGAUGAAGUUCAUGAUUGCUUUUUCUAUUUCUAUGAGGAAUGCCAUUGGGAUUUUGAUCGGAAUUGCAUUGAACCUGUAUAGUGCUUUUGGUAGUAUGGUCACUUUAAUAAUAUUAAUUCUGCCUAUCCAAGGUAGAUCCUUCCAUCUUCUAAGGUCUUCUUUGAUUUCUUUCUUUAGGGUUCUGUAGUUUUAAUUAUAUAGAUCUUUUG